AUUGAACGCUGGCGGCAUGCCUUACACAUGCAAGUCGAACGGCAGCACGGGUGCUUGCACCUGGUGGCGAGUGGCGAACGGGUGAGUAAUAUAUCGGAACGUACCUUAUCGGUGGGGAUAACGCAGCGAAAGCUGUGCUAAUACCGCAUAAGCCCUUAGGGGGAAAGCAGGGGACCGUAAGGCCUUGCGCGAUUAGAGCGGCCGAUACCUGAUUAGCUAGUUGGUGAGGUAAAGGCUCACCAAGGCAACGAUCAGUAGCUGGUCUGAGAGGACGAUCAGCCACACUGGGACUGAGACACGGCCCAGACUCCUACGGGAGGCAGCAGUGGGGAAUUUUGGACAAUGGGGGCAACCCUGAUCCAGCAAUGCCGCGUGAGUGAAGAAGGCCUCGGGUUGUAAAGCUCUUUUGUCAGGGAAGAAACAGCAGCUCUAAUACAGUCUGCGAAUGACGGUACCUGAAGAAUAAGCACCGGCUAACUACGUG
rnacentral:rRNA from 1 species